rnacentral:rRNA from 1 species
GCAUAUCAAUAAGCGGAGGAAAAGAAACCAACAGGGAUUACCUCAGUAACGGCGAGUGAAGCGGUAACAGCUCAAAUUUGAAAGCUAGCUCUUUUAGGGUUCGCAUUGUAAUUUGUAGAAGAUGCUUCGGGUGUGGCCCCGGUCUAAGUUCCUUGGAACAGGACGUCAUAGAGGGUGAGAAUCCCGUAUGUGACUGGGUGCUUUCGCUCAUGUGAAGCUCUUUCGACGAGUCGAGUUGUUUGGGAAUGCAGCUCAAAAUGGGUGGUAAAUUUCAUCUAAAGCUAAAUAUUGGCCAGAGACCGAUAGCGCACAAGUAGAGUGAUCGAAAGAUGAAAAGCACUUUGGAAAGAGAGUUAAACAGUACGUGAAAUUGUUGAAAGGGAAGCGCUUGCAACCAGACUUGCGCGCUGAUGAUCAUCCGGGCUUCUGCCCGGUGCACUCGUCUGCGCUCAGGCCAGCAUCGGUUUCGGUGGUGGGAUAAAGGCCUUGGGAAUGUAGCUCCUCUCGGGGAGUGUUAUAGCCCUCGGUGCAAUGCCGCCUACCGGGACCGAGGACCGCGCUUCGGCUAGGAUGCUGGCGUAAUGGUUGUAAGCGACCCGUCUUGAAACACGGACCAAGGAGUCUAACAUCUAUGCGAGUGUUUGGGUGUCAAACCCAUACGCGUAAUGAAAGUGAACGGAGGUGAGAACCCUUAAGGGUGCAUCAUCGACCGAUCCUGAUGUCUUCGGAUGGAUUUGAGUAAGAGCAUAGCUGUUGGGACCCGAAAGAUGGUGAACUAUGCGUGAAUAGGGUGAAGCCAGAGGAAACUCUGGUGGAGGCUCGCAGCGGUUCUGACGUGCAAAUCGAUCGUCAAAUUUGCGUAUAGGGGCGAAAGACUAAUCGAACCAUCUAGUAGCUGGUUCU